GGUCAAGUAAUGAAGUGCACAUGGUGGAUGCCUUGGCAGUCAGAGGCGAUGAAAGACGUGAUAGCCUGCGAUAAGCGUCGGUGAGGUGGCAAUAUCCUGUGACCCGGCGAUUUCUGAAUGGGGAAACCCAGCCAACAUAAGUUGGUUAUCUUAUAUUAGUAUAAGAGGCAAACCGGGAGAAGUGAAACAUCUCAGUACCCCGAGGAAAAGACAUCAAUAGAGAUUCCCCAAGUAGCGGCGAGCGAACUGGGAGAAGCCGAUCAAACUUGUAGUAGCAAAAUGGCGUGGGAAAGCCAACCAUAGUAGGUGAUAGUCCUGUAUGCGAAACUGCAAAUGCGACAUAUUAAGUAGGGCGAGACACGUGAAAUCUUGUCUGAAGAUGGGGGGACCAUCCUCCAAGGCUAAAUACUCCUGACUGACCGAUAGUGAACCAGUACCGUGAGGGAAAGGCGAAAAGAACCCCUGUUAGGGGAGUGAAAUAGAACCUGAAACCGUGUGCAUACAAGCAGUCGGAGCCCACUUGUUGGGUGACGGCGUACCUUUUGUAUAAUGGGUCAGCGACUUAUAUUCUGUAGCAAGGUUAACCGUUUAGGGGAGCCGUAGGGAAACCGAGUCUUAAUAGGGCGAUUAAGUUGCAGGGUAUAGACCCGAAACCGAGUGAUCUAUCCAUGAGCAGGUUGAAAGUGCCGUAACAGGCACCGGAGGACCGAACCCACUGUCGUUGAAAAGCCAGGGGAUGACUUGUGGAUAGGGGUGAAAGGCUAAUCAAACUCGGUGAUAGCUGGUUCUCCCCGAAAGCUAUUUAGGUAGCGCCUCGGACGAAUACCAUUGGGGGUAGAGCACUGUUUCGGCUAGGGGGUCAUCCCGACUUACCAAACCGAUGCAAACUCCGAAUACCGAUGAGUACUAUCCGGGAGACAGACGGCGGGUGCUAACGUUCGUCGUCAAGAGGGAAACAACCCAGACCGCCAGCUAAGGCCCCAAAUUCCUAGUUAAGUGGGAAACGAUGUGGGAAGGCACAGACAGCUAGGAGGUUGGCUUAGAAGCAGCCACCCUUUAAAGAAAGCGUAAUAGCUCACUAGUCGAGUCGGCCUGCGCGGAAGAUGUAACGGGGCUCAAACUAGGAGCCGAAGCUGCGGAUUUAAUUGUUUCAAUUAAGUGGUAGGGGAGCGUUGUGUAAGCCUGUGAAGGUGUGUUGUAAAGCAUGCUGGAGGUAUCACAAGAGCGAAUGCUGACGUGAGUAACGACAAAACGGGUGAAAAGCCCGUUCGCCGGAAGACCAAGGGUUCCAGUCCAACGUUAAUCGGGGCUGGGUGAGUCGACCCCUAAGGCGAGGCCGAAAGGCGUAGUCGAUGGGAAAUUGGUUAAUAUUCCAAUACUUGUUUAUGAUGCGAUGGAGGGACGGAGAAGGUUAUGUCAGCCUGGUGUUGGUUGUCCAGGUGAAAGGAUGUAGGUAGGUUUAGUAGGCAAAUCCGCUAGACUAUUACUGAGAUCUGAUAGCAAGCCAGUUUACUGGCAAAGUGGCAAAUACCCUGCUUCCAGGAAAAGCUUCUAAGCGAUAGUCAUAAACAAAUCGUACCCGAAACCGACACAGGUGGUCAGGUAGAGAAUACCAAGGCGCUUGAGAGAACUCUGCUGAAGGAACUAGGCAAAAUGGUACCGUAACUUCGGGAGAAGGUACGCUGCCGAUGGUGAUAAGACUUGCUCUUUGAGCUGUUGGCAGUCGCAGAUACCAGGCUGCUGCAACUGUUUAUUAAAAACACAGCACUCUGCAAACACGAAAGUGGACGUAUAGGGUGUGAUGCCUGCCCGGUGCUGGAAGGUUAAUUGAUGGGGUUAGCGUAUGCGAAGCUCUUGAUCGAAGCCCCAGUAAACGGCGGCCGUAACUAUAACGGUCCUAAGGUAGCGAAAUUCCUUGUCGGGUAAGUUCCGACCUGCACGAAUGGCAUAAUGAUGGCAGCGCUGUCUCCAGCAGAGACUCAGUGAAAUCGAAAUCGCAGUGAAGAUGCUGUGUACCCGCGGCUAGACGGAAAGACCCCGUGAACCUUUACUACAGCUUUACAUUGAACUUUGACCUAACUUGUGUAGGAUAGGUGGGAGGCUUUGAAGUAGGGACGCCAGUUCCUAUGGAGCCAUCCUUGAAAUACCACCCUGGUUAUGUUGGGGUUCUAACUUAGAUGUAACAACAUCAAGGACAAUGUAUGGUGGGUAGUUUGACUGGGGCGGUCUCCUCCUAAAGAGUAACGGAGGAGUACGAAGGUGCGCUCAGAACGGUCGGAAAUCGUUCAAAGAGUAUAAAGGCAAAAGCGCGCUUAACUGCGAGACCCACAAGUCGAGCAGGUACGAAAGUAGGUCUUAGUGAUCCGGUGGUUCUGUAUGGAAGGGCCAUCGCUCAACGGAUAAAAGGUACUCUGGGGAUAACAGGCUGAUACCGCCCAAGAGUUCAUAUCGACGGCGGUGUUUGGCACCUCGAUGUCGGCUCAUCUCAUCCUGGGGCUGAAGCAGGUCCCAAGGGUAUGGCUGUUCGCCAUUUAAAGAGGUACGCGAGCUGGGUUUAGAACGUCGUGAGACAGUUCGGUCCCUAUCUACCGUGGGCGUUGGAAAUUUGAGAGGAUCUGCUCCUAGUACGAGAGGACCAGAGUGGACGAACCUCUGGUGUUCCGGUUGUUUCGCCAGAAGCACUGCCGGGUAGCUAUGUUCGGAUGGGAUAACCGCUGAAAGCAUCUAAGCGGGAAGCCCACCUCAAGAUUAGAUUUCCCUAAAGAGCCGUUGUAGACUACGACGUUGAUAGGUUGGGUGUGGAAGCAUGGCGACAUGUGUAGCUAACCAAUACUAAUUGCUCGUUUGGCUUGACCAU
rnacentral:rRNA from 1 species